GAUGAACGCUGGCGGCGUGCCUAAUACAUGCAAGUCGAGCGAACAGACGAGGAGCUUGCUCCUCUGACGUUAGCGGCGGACGGGUGAGUAACACGUGGAUAACCUACCUAUAAGACUGGGAUAACUUCGGGAAACCGGAGCUAAUACCGGAUAAUAUAUUGAACCGCAUGGUUCAAUAGUGAAAGACGGUUUUGCUGUCACUUAUAGAUGGAUCCGCGCCGCAUUAGCUAGUUGGUAAGGUAACGGCUUACCAGGCAACGAUGCGUAGCCGACCUGAGAGGGUGAUCGGCCACACUGGAACUGAGACACGGUCCAGACUCCUACGGGAGGCAGCAGUAGGGAAUCUUCCGCAAUGGGCGAAAGCUUGUCGGAGCAACGCCGCGUGAGUGAUGAAGGUCUUCGGAUCGUAAAACUCUGUUAUUAGGGAAGAACAAAUGUGUAAGUAACUAUGCACGUCUUGACGGUACCUAAUCAGAAAGCCACGGCUAACUACGUG
rnacentral:rRNA from 1 species